rnacentral:rRNA from 1 species
CUACGGGGGGCUCCAGUGGGGAAUAUUGCACAAUGGGGGAAACCCUGAUGCAGCGACGCCGCGUGAAGGAUGAAGGAUUUCGGUUCGUAAACUUCUAUCAGCAGGGAAGAUAGUGACUGUACCUGACUAAGAAGCCCCGGCUAACUACGUGCCAGCAGCCGCGGUAAUACGUAGGGGGCAAGCGUUAUCCGGAAUUACUGGGUGUAAAGGGUGCGUAGGUGGCUUGUUAAGCCAGAUGUGAAAGCCCGGGGCUCAACCCCGGGACUGCAUUUGGAACUGGCAAGCUAGAAUACAGGAGAGGUAUGUGGAAUUCCUAGUGUAGCGGUGAAAUGCGUAGAUAUUAGGAGGAACACCAGUGGCGAAGGCGACUUACUGGACUGUUAUUGACACUGAGGCACGAAAGCGUGGGGAGCGAACAGGAUUAGAUACCCGGGUAGUC